CCUCACUCUGAAGCCCCCGGAUCCAAGCAGGAUGAGCUGCCAACUCAGCUUGCUCUGACUUGACUUGGCUCAUGAUCCGUGGAAGACAUCCCUACCUGACCCGUCGAUCAGCCCGAAACUUCAACAUCUUUUUGGCAGCUCCGUCCCCAGUUUGGCAGCCUCAGAGGACCCGCCGGCCACCCUGAUCCUACCAUGCCUCUGAGAAGCUCCUGAGCUGAAAAUCAACUUGCUUCUCAGAGAUCCUUCAGAUCCUGUGGGCAUAAGGGUUAAAUGAAGCUCCCGAUUCAUCUGCUGUUAUUGCUGCCGCUGCUGAGAAGCUGAGAUUGAUUGAGCAGUUCUCCCUUCUCUUCGGUCAGCCUGCCCAGCCUUCUUCUGUGUGGACAGGAGCAUAAUGAAUGAAGGUCCUCUGCCCCUGUCCCUCCGACUUGCUCCCCUCAGACAGCACGGGGUUGCUUUCCCUCCCUGUGUGGCAGUCCUACCGAUGAGAAGCAAGUCGACCAGAUGGGCGUGGAUGCUGUGGAACCAGAGCUGGUGGCUAGGAUGGGGCUGCUCAGGCAAUAUUAAAGGAGAGCUUCCUCUCAAGGCUUGCAAGGAAGAGGGCAGCAAAUGGGGCUUGAGAGGGGGUCACUGUGUGUUUAUGGCUGAAAAUCUUCCCAGACACGAGAUGAUACAUUCCAGCUGGGGACUGUCAGAUCUGCUCAGAAGCAAGGAGGCAUGUAUGUUUACACAUGCACACAC
ensembl:lncRNA novel transcript